rnacentral:rRNA from 1 species
UACGAAGGGGGCUAGCGUUGCUCGGAUUGACUGGGCGUAAAGGGCGCGUAGGCGGUUCGUACAGUCAGACGUGAAAUUCCUGGGCUCAACCUGGGGGCUGCGUUUGAUACGUGCGGACUUGAGUGCGGAAGAGGGUCGUGGAAUUCCCAGUGUAGAGGUGAAAUUCGUAGAUAUUGGGAAGAACACCAGUGGCGAAGGCGGCGACCUGGGCCAAUAUUGACGCUGAGGUGCGAAAGCGUGGGGAGCAAACAGG